CCUACGGGUGGCAGCAGUGGGGAAUAUUGGGCAAUGGGCGCAAGCCUGACCCAGCAACGCCGCGUGAGGGAAGAAGGCUUUCGGGUUGUAAACUUCUUUUGUCAUGGAAGAGUAGAAGACGGUACCUGACGAAUACGCCACGGCUAACUACGUGCCAGCCGCCGCGGUAAUACGUAGGUGGCAAGCGUUGUCCGGAUUUACUGGGUGUAAAGGGCGGGUAGCCGGGUUGACAAGUCAGAUGUGAAAUCCUGCGGCUGAACCGCAGAACUGCAAUUGAAACUGUUGAUCUUGAGUACUGGAGAGGCAGACGGAAUUCCUAGUGUAGCGGUGAAAUGCGUAGAUAUUAGGAGGAACACCAGUGGCGAAGGCGGUCUGCUGGACAGCAAAUGACGGUGAGGCGCGAAAGCGUGGGGAGCAAACAGGAUUAGAUACCCCAGUAGUC
rnacentral:rRNA from 1 species